GGUGAGAUGUCCGAGUGGCUGAAGGAGCACGCCUGGAAAGCGUGUAUAGGUGAAUAGCCUAUCUCGGGUUCGAAUCCCGAUCUCACCGCCA
rnacentral:tRNA from 1 species